rnacentral:rRNA from 1 species
UACGACUACAUAUCAGGCAUAUCAAUAAGCGGAGGAAAAGAAACUAACAAGGAUUCCCUAGUAACGGCGAGUGAAGCGGGAAGAGCUCAAAUUUGAAAUCUUCAAGGUUCUACCUUGACGAAUUGUAGUUUAAAGAAGUGUUUUCUGUUAGAUGAGUAGCAAAAGUUCCUUGGAAUGGGACAUCAUAGAGGGUGAGAAUCCCGUAUUUGGUUAUUCAUUCUAGCUUUGUGAUACACUUUCAAAGAGUCGGAUUGUUUGGGAAUGCAGUCCAAAAUGGGUGGUAAAUUUCAUCUAAAGCUAAAUAUUGGCGAGAGACCGAUAGCGAACAAGUACCGUGAGAGAAAGAUGAAAAGAACUUUGAAAAGAGAGUUAAACAGUACGUGAAAUUGUCAAAAGGGAAGCGUUUGACACCAGUGUUGUUUUUCCGAAAAUCAAUUACGAAUGGCUUGAUUCUGUGUUGUAUUGACCUUAUCAGCUUUCUUCACUUUUUUCGAGUCUUUCUUAAUGCACUUUUCGGUUAACAAGUCAACAUCAAUCUCUUUUGUUGUAAAAGAGUAUUCGGAAGGUGGCUUUCUUUUCGGAGAAAGUGUUUAUAGCCCUAUACUUCUACAAUCGGAGAGAUUGAGGUCUGCAGCGUAGAUCCUUCGGGGUUAGAUACACUUGUGCUAAGUUGUAGCUUUUCAUAGACAACUUGUUGACUAUGUUUAGUCAUGCGGCUUACUCGCUUGUGCUAUUUUACCUACGCUUAGGAUGUUGAGUAGCGACAUACGCAC